UACGAAGGGUGCAAACGUUGCUCGGAAUUAUUGGGCGUAAAGCGCGCGUAGGUGGCCUCAUAAGUCCGCUAUGAAAGUCAAAGGCUCAACCUUUGAAAGCCGGUGGAUACUGUGAGGCUAGAGUACGGAAGAGGCGAGUGGAAUUCCUGGUGUAGCGGUGGAAUGCGCAGAUAUCAGGAGGAACACCAAUAGCGAAGGCAGCUCGCUGGGACGUUACUGACACUGAGGCGCGAAAGCGUGGGGAGCGAACAGG
rnacentral:rRNA from 1 species